UUCUUGGAAGAGGCGCUCUGCUCUUCCCGGGAAGAGGCCUCUAGCCACAGCUGCUCUGAUUCUGGCAAAAACACCUCACCCGGGGUGGGGGCGGAGCUGCCCACACUCUGCCUUCCCCGCCCUCCGCGAGCACCCACAGGUAACAACGCUGAGACUCGGGAGAGAAGGUGGGGAUGGUCAAGCUGCUGGAAGCGGGUGCCGGCGUGCCCAAAGCCCACACCCCCCAACCCGGAUAAUGACCGGCUGACUCCAAGUGCAAAGGCAGGCAUUGCUAUUCCCCGCAUGUAAAGACUGAACUGUCAGUAGCUGGCAGAUCCUUCUCAGGAAAGCGCCGGACUCUGCCUUGAGGUGAGUCAGGGGUGGCCCAUUGCCAGGCAGGCCUAUGGCUCCAGUGCUCUCAGCAGGCAGAGACAAGGUGGAUAGAAACAAUUGUCAGAGCUGGCACCCGGUUGCCUGUCCCCAUCUCACCGAGAUGUCUGGAGGCAGAAGGCCAGUUAGGGUGAACGCUGCUCUGUGCUCAACUCUCUGGGUGGCCUCAGGCAGGCCCUGCUCCUGGUAUUUGAACUUAGGGUAGGGAGUAUUUGGGCCCCAAUCCCACGGAGUAUGGGGUCCUCGCUCAGACUUGCACCUGGCAGGCAUUUUUAAGACAGUCCCUUGUGUGAAGAAUGGGGUUUUCUGAUUCCUUUUGUUACAGCAGCUGAAGUGUCCAAGUUGUGACACCAUGUGUGGAGAGCCAGCCUCUGGCCCCUGAGUGCUACAAUUUUUCCACUCAAUGACUCAGCUCUGAGGGAGCGGGAGGUGCGAGGUAGAAGAGCAAUAGGGAUCGCCUCACAUAUUUUAGGAACCACAAGAAGGCUAAGAUCAGGGUUGGAGAAAAGACCCUACCAAGGCCAUGAUAACAGUUGGACAAGGCACACUGUUGGGCCCCACAGCCAGUAAAGGUUUUACCAGCUGCCGGUGGCAGUGAGGAAGGUUUCAGACUGAAGAGCUGGGCUUUGACACUACUCCUAGUUUUUAAAAAAAGUAUUAUCCCUCGUUCAUUCACCUCUUGUUCACACUAACCCAAUGUUUGUUUGUAUUUGUGUGUGUGUAGGUGCACACAGGCCAGAAGAAAGCAUUAGUUUCACUAGAGCUGGGAACGCUGAUUCUCUGAAGGAGUAGCAAGCGCUCUUAACCUUUGAGCCAUCUUUCCAGCCCUCACAGUGUCAUUCCUGUGCUUUGUCAUGACUGCCUCUUUGACUGGGCCUCCCUGAUUCUAGGUUGUUUAUUUUCUUAGCCUCUUCCUUAUCAAGAUGCCAGUCCUCACAGCUUCCUGCGCUCAAGCCAACAUUACAGGCCUCCUGUCAUUUGCCACUUCUGCUGGUCUCAGGACCAAGAACACAUCCAGAAUUGUUUCUGCAAUAAGGUCUGAAGGCUUUGAGCAGUUUAGAGGAGCUUUGCCCUAAGGCCCUCACACCAUACUAGGAUCCCAGCAGCCUAAAUAGUUCCGAGUCAGACCAUCAACCCUGGACAGUGUUCAUUUUAAUUGUACUUCUGAUGUAACAAGAUCUUGACUGAGAGGGUUCACUGACCCCAGACCACGUGAGCCAAAAUUCUGACACUUCCACCCCAGGCCAGACCCUACCAGCUAUUGGUCACUAUCCCUGACCCACUGGCCAGGAAGAGCCCUCACAGGCCCCGCGACCUGAUCCUCAUCCCACUUUAGUGCCUUUGUGUCCAUUGUACUUUCUCCUUGUAAGGCUGGCCUGAGUCCUGUGGCUCCUCAGGUCAGUGCCCUCUGUGCCCACUUGCACUUUGAAUGGAUACUUCCUCUCCACACAUCUCUUGGGCUUAGAGCUCUUCUCCUGCCCGCUUCCUCCCUACCCAGUAGCACAAUGGAUAGCACCCCAGAAGGGAUGCCAACAGACCUUUAUCUCCUGUCUCUCAUCUCCCGAGGAGAACAAGGGGGAAGGUGAGAAGAAAGGCGGCUCUGUUUCCUGCACCCCUCAGUCCCCGGGUAGGGACUGCCGAGUCGUUAAGGUUCCGCGCUUUGGCUUUUCCAAAAAGGGAUAAACUACACAUGACUCCAGGAGCCCCACAGAAGGCUUCAUAAAUGGAAGGCAUAAUUUUAUUACCAUUACAGAAAAACCGGUGGAAGGAAAACUAUCAAAGUGGUUCUCGUGUUAUAAUAAUUGCUUUAUAAAGUCUUGUCAGGCAUGUAUGUAUUCCUCCCUCUCUCACAUGCAGGCAGCUUCCUGGGCGGGAAGAAGACAUGAAAGAGCUGCAUCAGCAGCCCUAGAGCCAGCGUCCCUUCCCUGACCCAGCACAAGCCCCUCCACGGGGGCCGCACCACAGAGAAGCCAGCUCUCUGAAGCCAUGCCACUGCCCAGUGAGGAGAGGAGAGUGAGCUCUGUGUUUCUGGCUCCUGUCUGUCUGGUUACCCAGCCUCCCAAAAGAGGCCAGGGAGAAAAAGAGGGCGACCCUAUACGCAGGGGGUCAGGGCCUGGACAUUCGGGACUACUUUGGGCCCAAUAAUACGACUCGGGGUGAGGGUCUCCACAGGGAAGAACCAGAGCUGGGGGUCUUUGGACCACCCAAGGCUUAGGGCAGAGAAGUGGGAUGGCUCAUGCCAUCAUCUGACCCCCGACCCCUGCCAGGAGAAUAAAUAAAUAAAUACUGUAUAACUAUGUAGUCCCUCAGCCCAGCCUGCUU